rfam:Picea glauca, whole genome shotgun sequence.
UCAAAGGAUUUUCUAAAAUCCACAAAAUAACAUAUGAGAUUUUCCU